rnacentral:rRNA from 1 species
AAUUGCCCUAGUACGGCGAGUGAAGAGGCAAAAGCUCAAGUUUGGAAGCUCAGUGGUUUAACCACUGCGCAUUGUAAACUGAAAACAGGAUCAAUCAGGUACACCGGGUGAUAAGUUCCUUGGAAUAGGACAUCAUGGAGGGUGAGAAUCCCGUCUUUGACCCGAGUCUAGUAUCUUUUGUAUUGGCCUGUUCAAGAGUCAGGUUGUUUGGGAAUGCAGCCUAAAGCUGGAGGUAAAUCCCUCCUGAAGCUAAAUAAUGGCGAGAGACCGAUAGCGAACAAGUACCGUGAGGGAAAGAUGAAAAGAACUCUGAAGAGAGAGUUAAACAGUACGUGAAAUUGCUUAAAGGGAAGCAUAUAAAGCUAGGAUGCGAUUGUUUUCUUCAGGUUGAGCUUUGGCUUGACUGUUCAGAAGGAUAAUCCGAGACAACAAGAAUUGGAGGAGGAGAAUAAGCUGUUAGGGAAGGUAAUCCUUCGGGAUGUUUAUAGACCUGGCAGUUCGCGCUCUUCUUUCGAUUGAGGUACGCUUUUUUUAAAGGUUGUUGUCUGAAUGGCUUUAUAUGGCCCGUCUUGAAACACGGACCAAA